rnacentral:rRNA from 1 species
UACAGAGGGGGCAAGCGUUAUUCGGAAUUAUUGGGCGUAAAGGGCACGUAGGCGGCCUGGCAAGUGGAAGGUGAAAUCCCUCGGCUUAACCGAGGAACUGCCCUCCAAACUGCUUGGCUUGAGUCCGGGAGAGGUGAGUGGAAUUCCCAGUGUAGCGGUGAAAUGCGUAGAUAUUGGGAGGAACACCAGUGGCGAAGGCGGCUCACUGGACCGGAACUGACGCUGAGGCGCGAAAGCGUGGGGAGCAAACGGG